GGCUCAGAAGAAGGUGUGAUGAAGUUAAUGGAGAAGAUUAUGAAUGGCAGAACAGGGUCUAGAAUUGGUUUGUAAGGAUCCUGGGAAACCACAAAAGAUCACAGUGAACGACCCGGCGGCUGUGAAACAUGGACAUUCCAACAGUUGAUAAUACAGACAUUACAAUCCUUCGAGCUAUCAUGCUAUAGAAGAAUUCUGAAAAUACCCUGGAUAGACCAAGUAAUUACUCAAGGAGCUGACUGAGGAGAUAUCUGAGCCAUUAGCAAUUAUCUUUGAAAAAUCAUGGAAAAUGGGAGACAUUCCAGAAGACUGGAAAAGGACUCCAGGCUGAAGACUGUGGGUGAGAGCUUCACUUCUCUGGCACAACGGAACUAUCUACAAUAAGGAAAGACUCAUCGUUAACAACAGGUGUCAGCACAGAGCACACUCCCGAACCUAUGCAUUACAGUAAAACCUCACAGUUACGAGACCAGAAUUACAAACUGACCAAUCAACCACACACCUUGUUCGGAACCGGAAGUACACAAUCAGGAAG